AGAAACAAGGGGUAAUUUAUUUCUUGUCUCUGGGGGGAGCAGCAUAGAGCAGAGACGAGAGCAGCUAAACAAAGGACAGUCCAACGUUACUCCAGCAAGCAGCACCUAACUAGUAAUUAUAUGAUAGAGCGCUUAUUACUACAAUAACAAUAUCUUACAAAAAUCUAUACUAAUCUAACUGUACAAAGUAAUAUAUUUAAAUGUUUGCCAAGA
rnacentral:lncRNA from 1 species